UGGCGCACGGGUGAGUAACGCGUGGGUAAUCUACCCUCGAAUUUGGGAUAACUCCGCGAAAGCGGGGCUAAUACCGGAUAAUAUCUCUUUUGUCUCGACCUUUGAGAUCAAAGGUGGCCUCUACAAGUAAGCUACCGUUUGAGGAUGAGCCCGCGUACCAUUAGCUUGUUGGUAGGGUAAUGGCCUACCAAGGCUACGAUGGUUAGCUGGUCUGAGAGGAUGAUCAGCCACACUGGAACUGACACACGGUCCAGACUCCUACGGGAGGCAGCAGUGAGGAAUUUUGCGCAAUGGGGGAAACCCUGACGCAGCAACGCCGCGUGAGUGAUGAAGGCUUUCGGGUCGUAAAGCUCUGUCAAGUGGGAAGAAACUACUUGAAAUUAAUACUUUCUUGUAUUGACGGUACCACUGAAGGAAGCACCGGCUAACUCCGUGCCAGCAGCCGCGGUAAU
rnacentral:rRNA from 1 species